AAGAAUUUAAAGAGUGCACUUAAUUGUGGCUCACCAUUUUCUACCAUUCACCCUAGUGCACUGUAACACCUUUUUUAUUAUUAUUAGACUCUACAAAGUUAUUGAAUGUAACACUUUUUUAUAAAGAAAUA
rnacentral:misc_RNA from 1 species